UAGUAUUCUGUGUUCUUUCUCUUUCCCUCCUUUCACCCUUUGCUUGCCUCACGAAAUAGACCAUUUCAUUUUUGGAAGUUCUUUAAUCUGAUGAACCAGCAGCUGUUUGUCUCCCUAAACCCUCUAUACAUCUACCUGAUUUUAUUCCAAAGUCUGUAAAGAACAGUUUUUAAUCCUUCUUCUAUAUGGUGUUCCUUUAUUUUUUAAAACUGUUAAGUUAUCUUGUCUUUACACUUUAUCUCACUAACCAGUCUUUUGUUUUUCAGGCUUGACAUUUUGAGCUUUCUUUUUGAAAAAUUGUUUAAAGUAUCUAGUUCAAGAUCCCCAAUCUAGGUGAACUUCAUGGAACAUUUAAUUGACAUGGAGAUAAUUAGGGGAUGUUCUGAAGAGUUACCAAAGAGAACUCCUAAAGAGAAACUAGAUGGUUGAGAUUAUUUGUGGAGGAAGAACAGAUGAAAGUAAAAUUCUGCUAUUAAGAAUACUAUCUGGGUAAAGAAAUGCUUUCUGCUUUCUUUGAUGGAAAUAGAUAAGAGUGAACAGACUUAUAUUCAUUCAUUGAAAUUCAGAUAAAUUCAUAACCAAAGUUUUAUUAUAUAUAUACUGAUAUGGUGAAGAGUUCAACACUAAUCUAGUUUGAACUCUGUAGAUAUUUAAAACCAGCUAUUUUAAUUUCUUUUAGCUUUAAGACAAUGCUGAAAUAUGUACUUAAUUUUCUGAAUACUUUGCUCUUUAUAGCUGCCGUUUCAUGAAUUUGUGAUAUUAGACUUAUUGUAUGAGGAGUUUUGUAUUUUUCUUCUUUGAACUUUUUGCUUAUAGUGCUUUGGCCACAGACCUUCCCAAACCUUAGUAUUUCUGGAUGAAUUUUUUGAGAGUGCACAACAUUGGAAAGGAGCUUUUGCAUAAUGCCAGCAGUGUGGCUGAGGAAAUGGGUCUGGAGGAAAAUGA
rnacentral:lncRNA from 1 species